CGUUACUUUACCUCUAUGCAGACUACCUGUUUGUUUGGUGGGUUCACCGAAAGAACAUGAAAAGGAAGUGCGCUGCCAUUCUUCGCCUGUGAAUCGAGCAGAGCGGACAAUUGCCACUCGAUUCUGGUUUAAUGAGUUGUUUUAAUGUUUUUGUUUCGUUAAUCGUCGCCCUAAUCCAAACAGAGGAUCCAGACAGGGCCCACCCAGGUGCAUUUAUCUUCAGGUUAACCCUAGAUCAGUGGAGGGAUUGGGAAGAGAAACUAGAUUGGCAUCUCGCUGUGUGGUCCAGAGUGAGUCUGUGUGCAGCUGCCUAAGGUAACAGCACCUCUGCACGCUUCACUGCCCCCCUCCCAUUCGCCUCCAGCCGCCUGAUCCAACCUGUCAACAGGAAGAGCUAAUCCAUCACGUCUGAGCCAAUGCCGCAACGGUUCACUUCCUCCUCAAGUUUGGAUGCAUUCUUGUGUCUGUUGUGUCUAGUAAAUGACACAGCACUCAACAAAAGUCUGACAACACUAAUCCUCUGACAAAAUAUUUUUUGAACAUUAAACAUAUUUUGAGAUGAUGAAGUCUUUUUUAAACUAAGGUCAGGAUAAUUGCUCUGUUUUGAUAGUGUCUAUAAGACAUAUUUAAUAUGGGAGACCAUGCAGGGCUAGUUUCAACACCUAGCUUUAAAACCCUAAUAAUGUUUGCGAUUUCACUUUUGUUUUUCUUACUUGUUUUCCUGUUUACAUUUUGCUGUUUAAUGGUAGGUUUCAAUGUGUCAACCCUUGUCGCAUGACAAUGGGCCUUUACAAAAGAAGAGUUUUUUUGCAAGAACAGAUAACUUAGUAAACGUUAGUUAACUGGAUAUAUAUUUUUUGAGUUAUUAUUACUUUAUCAAAUUAACCCAACUGCAGUUUGAUUAACAUCACUUGGAAUGCACAGUAAAAAACAUAAUUUUAGAUUUUUUAACGGAUCUGUUUUGCAAACAAUCUCUUCAAAAGCUCAACAAAGUUUUUUUAUAGAAAAAAAAACAUUGAUAACUUUAUUUGUAGUCAAGACUUAUUGCCGGUUUACAUAAAGGGCGAUAAUAGUUCUGAAAAUUAUACAACAACUUUAAAUAUAAUACAAUAUUAACCAACACCACAACUAACAAUAAUGAUAAAGAUAAAGAUGAACAGUUUUGUUGUAUAUACUUUCCAACUAAUGAAUAAUAAAAAUAUUGACAGCCAAACAAUUUCCUUUAGAAUUUUAAAGGCUUGUGCAUUCAGAAUGUGAAACUACAGCGCACAAGCCCACAAUAAAAAUACAGUAACGUUAUAGUCUGAGACUGACCAUUGAGGUGCAUGCUGGCAAACUUUAUUAAAUUAGUUCCCAUGAAUGUUGAGCACAUGUUGCCUGUUUUCCCUAGUAACCCAUACAUUUAAUAGCAUGUGAUGAAUAUUUGUAACAAACAAACAAAUGAGCGAAUGAAUUGGUUAAACACGAAACAGAUGAAACAGCUCUUAAGAUAAUAAGAAAUGUCUGAAGUUUUAACUGGUAGUCCCAUUCCAAAUAUAAUGAUGUUUGGAAAAUGUUUGGAACUAUUGUAUUUAUGGAAGCGCUGUUAUUAACUGCUCAACUUUUAAUGGGCACCGCUAUAAAGUGCACCCUUAUUCCUUUAUAUCCAAUACAUAACAUACAUCAUUAUAUACUCCCACCUCCCAUGAUUUACUGAUGUUUUCUCGAAAGACGUGUAUAACAACACUCCCUACAUUGUUUCCACUGCCGAGGCUCACGUCACAUGAAUCAGGGCAGACUUGGCCCGGCUUCAGCAAAGAGUGCGUCAAUACAUCCGCAACGAUCCAUUUCUCGUGACCCACGGCCAACACCUCGCUUACCACCUGCCUGCUCCAGGUCCACCCAGACUGGUUUUCUGUGCGUCUGGCUCAUGUUUGCUUCUCAUUGUACAUGGGGAAUGCCCUUCCAUGUUUAGCACUUGAGUAUAAUAUUUGCAACUUUGUAUUUUAUGACAGAACUCACCAUUUGAUUCUACAAAAAAAAAUGUAAACUUUAUGACUGUAACUAACGCAUUUUAUUCUCCAUUUACUUUGUUCAAUGAACAGCACCCUCAGAUGUUUCGGUAACACUUUACAUUAAGGUUCCCUAUAUAAAGCAUUUGUAAAUGUGUUCAUUAAUGAUUAAUAAGUCAUUUACAAAUGCAUUAUAAAGCAGUUAUAACUGUGUGAAUAAAAAGAGAUUCUAACAAAAUACCUGCCAAAAGAUGAGCCAUUUUUAACUCACAUGUUAUAAAUGCUUAAUAAAUGUGAAUACUUCACAGGCAUCCAAUUUUCUUUAGAGUGCACUUUCAUGGGAUGUCAAUACUUCUAAAUAUAU